rnacentral:antisense_RNA from 1 species
UUCCAUGGCGGGCCUUGGCGGGGAGACCUUCGGGUCUGCCGGUUCCUUUGUGCCGGUUCGCCAACCCUGCCUCGCGCCCGCCACCCUC